AUUGCAAUCCCUACGUUGAAAAUUUCAGGAUGGCAAAAGAUAAGUUGGAUAGUAAUGAUGGUGAACCGUUCUACAUGAAGAAUGUUAGUGAUAGGGUAGGAAAAGAUGGAAGAACUUAUUCCAACCCUACAGCGUCUGAAGUUGCAGCUUUGAUUCCCGGAGAUUUUCGUCCUGAAAUGCCUACACGUGAUAUUAUUGUUCAAGAUAAGAAAACAGGACAGCUUUCAAGAAUAAGCGAAGUUCAUCCUUCUUAUGUCCCAAUGCAAUAUCCUCUCAUAUUUACUUAUGGUGAAGAUGGAUUUAGACGAGGAAUAGAAAAGGGAUAUACAGGCAAGACAGAAAAACAAGCAAACAAGUGUAUAAGUAUGAGGCAGUGGUAUGCUUUCAGAAUACAAGAGAGAUUUGAUGAAGCACAGACACUACUACGUUCAAAGCGUUUGUUCCAACAGUUCUUGGUAGAUGGAUACACAACACUGGAAUCCAACAGGCUGUCCUAUAUUAAGUUUAACCAGUCUAAUCUGAGAUGUGAGAAUUAUUCUACUCUUAAGGCUGCCUCAGAAGCUGGAAACACCAACAUGGGUGAACAAGGUAAAUCAAUACGUAUUCCAUCUUCUUUUACUGGUGGACCUCGCUAUAUGUUGAACAGUUAUUAUGAUGCUAUGGCUACGUGUAAAAUGUAUGGUUUCCCAGACCUGUUUAUAACAUUUACAUGUAACCCCAAGUGGCCAGAAAUAACUAGAUAUUGUAAAGAACGUAGACUUAAUGCGGAUGAUAGACCAGAUGUUGUGUGUCGGAUAUUCAAGAUGAAGCUUGACUCUCUUAUGAAAGAUUUAACAGAAGACCAUCUUCUAGGAAAAACUGUCUCUGGUAAUGAAUUGUUUUGUCUUCUUUAUAUGUUUUAUGUUUGUUUAUUUUAUUGCCUGUUAUUGUACGAAUAUGAGUUUAAAAUGGUUAUUGCUAUUUGCAGCUAUGUACACAGUGGAGUUUCAGAAAAGAGGACUACCACAUGCUCAUAUACUCUUAUUCAUGGAUAAAAGUUGCAAAUUUCCAACAUCUGAUGAUAUUGACAAUAUCAUCUCUGCUGAGAUUCCAGAUAAAGCUAAGGAUCCUAAGUUAUAUGAGGUUGUAAAGGAGUGUAUGAUACAUGGUCCAUGUGGUGCGGCCAACAAAGAUUCACCAUGCAUGGUUGAUGGCAAGUGUUCUAAGUUUUUUCCUAAGAAAUUGGUUGAGCAAACAACAGUUGGUAAAGACGGAUACCCAAUAUAUAGAAGGCGGGAAUCUCAGCACUUUGUUGAAAAAGGUGGUAUUAAGUGUGACAACAGUUAUGUUGUUCCGUAUAAUCGCCUUUUAUCAUUGCGUUAUAGAGCUCACAUCAACGUUGAGUGGUGUAACCAAUCCGGUUCUAUCAAAUACUUAUUUAAGUAUAUUAACAAAGGACAAGAUCGUGUAGCUAUCGUUGUUGAACCUAAGGACAAGAAUACUGAUACGGAGACUGGAUCAGCAACUGGCAGUAAAGAAAAAAGUAAAGAUGAAAUCAAAGAUUACUUCGAUUGCAGGUAUGAUAUAAUAUUCCUUAGUGAAUAUAUCUACUAUAUCAGUUUUAUAUUUUCAGUUUGCAAUAAUUGACAUUUUUUCCCUUAAUAAAUAGGUAUGUUUCAGCUUCUGAAGCUGUUUGGAGGAUAUUCAAAUUUCCCAUCCAGUUUAGGACUACACCUGUGAUGAAGCUUUCUUACCAUCUUCCUGGAAAGCAACCAUUAUUUUUCGAUGGCACCCAGAAUAUUGAUGAACUAUUGGAUAGAAAAGCAAACGAAGAUUCUAUGUUUAUGGCUUAUCUUAAUCUGAAUAAGGAGAAUGAGUUUUCUAGACAGUUCACUUACGCAGAGAUUCCUCAAUAUUUCACUUGGGAUGGACAGAAUAAGCAGUGGAAGCUUAGGGAAAGAGGUUUCUGUAUAGGGAGAAUAAACUAUGCCUCCAUUAAAAUGGAACCAGAAUAUUACAUGAGGAUCCUUCUUGGGAUAGUAACUGGUCCAAAGAGUGAUGAAGAUAUCAGAACAUACAAAGAUGUUGUGUAUGAGACAUACAAGGAGGCAUGUUUGGCACGUGGUAUUCUAACAGACGAUCAAGCUUAUAUUGAUAGUAUAGUGGAAGCAAGCUUAUUUUUCUUUGGAGAUCAUCUUCGUAAUUUCUUUUCUAUGAUGCUUCUGGAUAAAUGUCUUGCAAGACCGGAGUAUGUGUGGGAAAUGUGUUGUGAAAUUUUAACGGAAGACAUCGAAACAAAGAAAAGAAAUCAGUACAACAAUCCAGGUUUGUUGAGAUACAAUUUUUUCCCGUUGGUUUGCUUGCUUUCCGUUUCUGUUAUAAUGAAAUAGUGUUUUUCUUUUUUACUCCAGAUUUAGUAUUAACUGAUGCUGAGAAAAGAAAUUAUGCUCUUCAAGAGAUAGAAGAUUUGUUGUUGUGUAAUGGGAGUACUCUGACAGACUUCAAAGACAUGCCUAAACCUACUCAAGAAGGUAUAGAUCAUUCAAACCAUUUCAUUACAGAAGAGAAAAAUUAUAACUGUGAUAAGUUGCGAGAAGACCAUGAUGAUUGGGUUAAUAAGAUGACUUCUGAGCAAAAAGACAUUUAUGAUGAGAUCAUUGGUGCUGUUUUAGAAAACAGUGGAGGUGUCUUUUUUGUUUAUGGAUUUGGGGGAACCGGUAAAACUUUUAUGUGGAAAACUCUAUUUGCCGCAGUUCGAAUGAGGGGUUUGAUUUCUGUCAAUGUUGCGUCUAGCGGGAUUGCUUCUUUGUUGUUAGAAGGUGGUAGAACUGCACAUUCUAGGUUUGGUAUCCCUAUUCAUCCUGAUGAUUUCACAACAUGUCAUAUCGUGCCUAACUCAGACCUUGCUAAUAUGCUUAAGGAAGCAUCUCUUAUCAUAUGGGAUGAAGCUCCUAUGAUGAGUCGUUAUUGUUUUGAGUCAUUGGAUAGAAGUCUAAAUGAUGUUAUUGGAAAUGUCGAUGGAAAGCCAUUUGGUGGUAAAGUUGUUGUUUUCGGAGGUGAUUUCAGACAAGUACUCCCUGUAAUACAUGGUGCUGGUAGGGCAGAGAUUGUUUUAGCUGCAUUAAAUUCAUCUUAUCUCUGGGAACACUGCAAGGUCCUCACUUUGACAAAGAACAUGCGUCUUAUGGCUAAUGAUUUGGAUAAAGAUGAGGCAGAGAAAAUUAAAGAGUUUUCUGAUUGGCUCUUGGCCGUUGGUGAUGGUAGAGUUUCAGAGCCUAAUGAUGGUGAAGUUCUCAUAGAUAUUCCAGAAGAUUUACUGAUUAAAGAUGUAAAUGAUCCUAUUGAAGCUAUUAUCAAAGCAGUUUACGGAGAAUUGGAUUUGUUGCAGCCUAAUAAUGAUCCUAAAUUCUUUCAAGAGAGAGCUAUAUUGUGUCCAAGAAAUAGUGAUGUCAACACCAUCAACGACAUCAUGCUUGAGAAACUUAAUGGUAAGAUUUACGUUUUAAUACUAUAAUCUUUAACUGUAUAUGUAUAAGAAACUUAUCUAACAAAUUUUCCCUAAACAGGUGAAGCAAUGACUUUUUUAAGUGCAGACGAUAUUGAUCCUCAGGAUGGUGCUUCAUUGAACAAUCCUGUCUUCACACCUGAUUUCCUCAAUAGUAUCAAGCUUUCUGGUUUGCCAAAUCACAGUCUCAGUCUCAAGAUUGGUGCACCGGUUAUGUUACUGAGGAAUAUUGAUCCAAAAAAUGGUCUAUGUAAUGGUACUAGAUUGCAGAUAACGCAGAUGGGUAAUCAUAUACUUGAAGCCAAAGUGAUUACUGGAGAUAGAAUCGGAGACAAAGUGAUAAUCCCUAAAUCUCAGAUAUCACCUUCAGAUACCAAAUUGCCUUUUCGCAUGAGGAGAAGACAGUUUCCAAUAUUUGUGGCUUUUGCAAUGACAAUAAACAAAAGCCAGGGACAAUCACUUAAAGAGGUAGGGAUUUAUCUUCCUAGACCAGUAUUUUCUCAUGGCCAGUUGUAUGUUGCCUUAUCAAGAGUCACUUCCAAAAAAGGUUUGAAAGUUCUUAUUGUGGAUAAAGAAGGAAAAACUCAGAGUCAAACAAUGAAUGUCGUCUUCAAAGAGAUCUUUCAGAACCUAAGGAAUUAGGAUAGUUUUAGUUUUUUUGCUUCUGUUAUUUAACUUUGUAGAUGUUUUGUAUUGUUUUUUAGAACAGCAAGUUCCUUUCCAUAGUCAUUUUAAUCCAAACAUAAUCAGACUCUCUGCAACUACAGUAGUGUAAGUUUAAGAGUUCAUUUCUAGACAACAAAAUCAAGAAACCUUAGUUCAAUUAUAACUCCGAUUGAGACAAACAACAACUUCAAUUUGUGUCUACAACUGAAAAAACAGAUCCAAAACUAACCUUAUAGAAAUGAUUAUUGCUUUAAGUGUUGUCGAUUUGCAAAAUUUGAUCUGCAAAUGGUUUCAUUCAGGUUCUGUUCUUCACUGAUCCCCUCUCCCAGAUUUCUAACAGAAACAAAUUCAUCAUCUCAAGUGCUUUAUCCGAAUCCUAUAUGAAAUCUGAAAAAGGUAAUUGAUCACAGAAUCUAAAUUAUCUUGAAACAAUUCAAUUGAAUUAGAAUGAAGCUUACAAAUUAAGAAGAAUUGGCGCAGAGAACAUGUCUAUUGAUGUGAGCUUAUGAUCUGAUUAUCAGCUUCUUCGGUAUCAUCGGUAAAGCUUAAGCAUGUCAAUGGAUGUUAACUUUCGGUGGAGAACGAGAAUCAUCGUUCUCAUAUGUUUUUUUUUUUU
rnacentral:lncRNA from 1 species